UAUCGGGUGAAGCAAUAAGCAAGAAGCGU
rnacentral:sRNA from 1 species